AUUGAACGCUGGCGGCAGGCUUAACACAUGCAAGUCGAGCGGGGAAGAGUAGCUUGUUACUUAACCUAGCGGCGGACGGGUGAGUAAUGCUUAGGAAUCUGCCUAUUAGUGGGGGACAACAUCUCGAAAGGGAUGCUAAUACCGCAUACGUCCUACGGGAGAAAGCAGGGGACCUUCGGGCCUUGCGCUAAUAGAUGAGCCUAAGUCGGGUUAGCUAGUUGGUGGGGUAAAGGCCUACCAAGGCGACGAUCUGUAGCGGGUCUGAGAGGAUGAUCCGCCACACUGGGACUGAGACACGGCCCAGACUCCUACGGGAGGCAGCAGUGGGGAAUAUUGGACAAUGGGGGGACCCCUGAUCCAGCCAUGCCGCGUGUGUGAAGAAGGCCUUUUGGUUGUAAAGCACUUUAAGCGAGGAGGAGGCUACCGAGAUUAAUACUCUUGGAUAGUGGACGUUACUCGCAGAAUAAGCACCGGCUAACUCUGUGCCAGCCGCCGCAGUAA
rnacentral:rRNA from 1 species